AUAAUCAUUAGUCUUUUAAUUGGAGGCUUGUAUGAAUGGUUGGACAAAAAGUUAACUGUCUCAUUUAUAUUAAUUGAAUUUAACUUUUAAGUGAAAAGGCUUAAAUAUACUGGGGGGACGAUAAGACCCUAUAAAGCUUUACAAUAAGUUGGUUGAAUUAUAAAUUGUUAGUUUAACUUAAUUUAAUUGGUGUUUGUUUCGUUGGGGCGACGAGAAUAUAAUAAUAUAACUGUUCUUUUGAAAAUUUAACAAAGUUGAUUGGAUAAUAAUUGAUCCUUUAAUAAAGAUUAAAAGAUUAAGUUACUUUAGGGAUAACAGCGUAAUCUUCUUUGAGAGUCCAUAUCGACAAGAAGGGUUGCGACCUCGAUGUUGA
rnacentral:rRNA from 1 species